GCAGCGGCAGUCAUUUUGAGCUCUGUUCCUUUCUCUUUUUAAAAAAAAAAAAUCUAUAAAUUGUGAGAAUGCCAGUAAAUCACCUACUCGUAUCACUUAUUUUUCUACUUACCUUCAAAACAGUGUCCUUUGCUGAAAUCCAGCCCCAGAAUCGGUCUGUGCGUGCAGGGGACCGUUUUGAGUUUGUUCAGAGAGAAGAGCUUCCACAGUUUUUACAGUUAAUCUGGAUGAAAACACCUUUUUCCAGAAAUCACUCAGAAACCAUUGUGACAUACUACAAUAAGACUAAAGCCACUGACCCUGCCAGUUCGUACAAGGACAGAGUGGUGUUCAAUACUACAAAUUUCUCUCUAACACUGAUGGGAAUGCAGAAGACAGACAGCGGACUUUACUGCACAACAACAAUUGGAAAAAAAACCAAAACUGUUUGUCAGUAUAAUGUAUCUGUUGUUGAUAACCACGGAUCACCCACUACCAUUUUUCUUCCUUGGAUAUUACUUACCUCUACACUGACUACAAUAAUGUUCUAAAU